GGGGGCGUAGCCAAGAGGAAAGGCACAGGGCUUUCAUCCCUGCAUACGCGGGUUCAAAUCCCGUCGCCCCAACCA
rnacentral:tRNA from 1 species